rnacentral:rRNA from 1 species
AUUGAACGCUGGCGGUAGGCCUAACACAUGCAAGUCGAACGCGAAAGUCCUUCGGGAUGAGUAGAGUGGCGGACGGGUGAGUAACGCGUAGGAAUCUAUCCUGUAGUGGGGGAUAACGUUUCGAAAGGAACGCUAAUACCGCAUACGCCCCAAGGGGGAAAGCGGGGGAGUCUUCGGACCUCGUGCUAUAGGAGGAGCCUGCGUCGGAUUAGCUAGUUGGUGAGGUAAAGGCUCACCAAGGCGACGAUCCGUAGCUGGUCUGAGAGGAUAAUCAGCCACACCGGAACUGAGACACGGUCCGGACUCCUACGGGAGGCAGCAGUGGGGGAAUAUUGCGCAAUGGGGCGAAAGCCUGACGCAGCCAUACCGCGUGUGUGAAGAAGGCCUUCGGGUUGUAAAGGACUCUGUGGGGAGAGACGAAGAAAGCCCGUGAAGAGCGGGCCGUUGACGGUAGUCUCCUUAGCAAGCACCGGCUAACUCCGUGCCAGCAGCCG